AGAGUUUGAUCCUGGCUCAGAGUGAACGCUGGCGGCGUGCUUAACACAUGCAAGUCGAACGGAGUAGCAAUACUUAGUGGCGCACGGGUGGGGAAUAUAUAGGUAACGUGCCCUUUAGAGGGGGAUAACAGUUGGAAACGACUGCUAAUACCCCAUACUCCUUCUUACUUAAUGUAAGUCGGGAAAGAUUUAUUGCUAAAGGAUUGGGCUAUACGGUAUCAGCUUGUUGGUGAGGAAAUGGCUCACCAAGGCUUUGACCCCUAUCUGGUCAGAGAGGAUGAUCAAGCACACUGUAACUGAGACACGGUCCAGACUCCUACGGGAGGCAGCAGUGGGGAAUAUUACACAAUGGAGGAAACUCUGAUGUAGCAACGCCGCGUGGAGGAUGACACAUUUCGGUGCGUAAACUCCUUUUAUUGGGGAAGAUAAUGACGGUACCUAAUGAAUAAGCACCGGCUAACUCCGUGCCAGCAGCCGCGGUAAUACGGAGGGUGCAAGCGUUACUCGGAAUCACUGGGCGUAAAGCGCAUGUAGGCGGUCUUGUAAGUUGGGUGUGAAAGCCUAUGGCUCAACCAUAGAAUUGCACCCAAAACUACUAGACUAGAGUCUGGGAGGGGAAGAUGGAAUUAGUGGUGUAGGGGUAAAAUCCGUAGAGAUCACUAGGAAUACCAAAAGCGAAGGCGGAUCUUCUGGAACAGUACUGACGCUGAGGCGCGAAAGCGUGGGUAGCAAACAGGAUUAGAUACCCUGGUAGUCCACGCCCUAAACGAUGAAUGUUAGUCGUCGGUUAGCUAGUCUAAUCGGUGAUGCACUUAACAGAUUAAAAAUUCCGCCCUGGGGAGUACGGUCGCAAGAUUAAAACUCAAAGGAAUAGACGGGGACCCGCACAAGUGGUGGAGCAUGUGGUUUAAUUCGAAGAUACGCGAAGAACCUUACCUGGCCUUGACAUUGAUAGAAUCCUGUAGAGAUACGGGAGUGCCCGUUUACUGGAGCUUGAAAACAGGUGCUGCACGGCUGUCGUCAGCUCGUGUCGUGAGAUGUUGGGUUAAGUCCCGCAACGAGCGCAACCCUCGUCCUUAGUUACUAACGGUUCGGCCGAGGACUCUAAGGAGACUGCCUUCGUAAGGAGGAGGAAGGUGAGGACGACGUCAAGUCAUCAUGGCCCUUACGGCUAGGGCGACACACGUGCUACAAUGGAUAGGACAAUGAGACGCAAUACCGCGAGGUGGAGCAAAUCUAUAAACCUAUUCUCAGUUCGGAUUGUAGUCUGCAACUCGACUACAUGAAGCUGGAAUCACUAGUAAUCGUAGAUCAGCCAUGCUACGGUGAAUACGUUCCCGGGUCUUGUACUCACCGCCCGUCACACCAUGGGAGUUGAUUUCACCCGAAGCGGGGAAGCUAACUUGGCUACCCUGCACGGUGGAAUCAGCGACUGGGGUGGAGUCGUAACAAGGUAACCAUAGGAGA
rnacentral:rRNA from 1 species